CCGGCAGCAGGAGGAGGAGGAGGAGGAGGAGGAGGAAGAAGAGGAGGAGGAGACGGCCUUCUUCCCUCCCGCCGCCCAGCGCGGAGGCAGGUUGAGCCGCGGCGAGGCUGGGAGGCCGGCGGCGGAGGCUCGGCGGAGUCCCGGGAGCCGAGGAGGGCUCGGAGCAGCGAGCGGCUCGGCGGCGGGGCAGGUGGCGGCAGCCGAGCGGCGCUCCAGGACUGAGAGCGGAGGCCGGGAGGAGGAGCCCGGCCUCGGCGCCUCCCCGAGCCGGCCCCCCCGGGGAGGAGAGGGGUGGGUUCGGCUCCCAGACCCCCCAGGCCGGGCGGGGAGGUGCUGCCGAGCUGUCAUCCACAAGGACCAGAAUGAAGAGCAGGGAAAGGCUGAGCCAGAGAUAACAGAAGGAAAGCACAAGGUCUUUGUGGCUGAAAAUUCAGGCAGUCACCAGGAGGAGCCCUGAUGUUAGUGGGAGUACUUGAGCCUUGGGACUCAGGGAACAUGAGGUCACAUCUUCCUGACCAUGCCCUUCAUGGACCUGCUGAGCAGAGGCUGAAAACUGGAAGGAGCACAGGAAUCCAAGCUGCUGCUUUCUGGGUGGAGAUGCUAGCAGCUUCCUCCCAUGGGGAGAGCACCUUACUCUCUUUGGUCUGGGGUAGUAAACCAAGGACUUUUCCUUUGUUGCAAUGAUCCUCAACUUGCAUAGAUGGAUUAUUCUAUUCCUCUAGAAAAGGAGAAUUUCUGUAUUCCUUCCCCUGCUCAUUGUAUAUGCUGUGCUGGCCACCUGAGUUUCCUGCCUUCUUUGCAAGAUAAUGACAUAUGGAUGGUCGUUAACCUUUCAAUCCCCUAGUCAUUUUUAAGGAUUUAGUUGACAGUGGUCAUGGUGCCAUGUUUAUAAGUCUUAGAUGAUAUAUAAUGCAGAGUUCUCUGAGGUCUAUCCCAAUUGUAACACCAAGUGCCAUUCACACUGGUGACUUCAUAAUGUGUGCAAGUACUCAUGUUGCCUUUAAGAUUAAUGCUUUUGUAUAAUGUAAUAAAAGCAUUUAACACAGGCUACCCUACA
rnacentral:lncRNA from 1 species